GGAAAUGUGGCUUACUGGUAGAGCGCUUGCCUCACACAGCAUGAGGCCCUGGGUUCGAUUCCUCAUCACCA
rnacentral:tRNA from 1 species